UGGGGAAUUUUGGACAAUGGGCGCAAGCCUGAUCCAGCCAUGCCGCGUGCAGGAUGAAGGCCUUCGGGUUGUAAACUGCUUUUGUACGGAACGAAGCGGCCUUUUCUAAUAAAGAGGGCUAAUGACGGUACCGUAAGAAUAAGCACCGGCUAACUACGUGC
rnacentral:rRNA from 1 species